rnacentral:misc_RNA from 1 species
UUUCCGUAGGUGAACCUGCGGAAGGAUCAUUACAGUAGUCACCCAGGUUGCCGCAAGGCCUCCUGGGUAACCUACCACCCUUUGUUUAUUACACUUUGUUGCUUUGGCAAGCCUGCCCUCGGGCUGCUGGCUCCGGCCGGCGAGCGCUUGCCUGAGGACCUAAACUCUGUAUGUCUAUACUGUCUGAGUACUAUAUAAUAGUUAAAACUUUCAACAACGGAUCUCUUGGUUCUG